AGCAGGUGUCAGGGCGUGGCUUUUACAGUCUUUGUACUCUUUUCUAUGAUGUUCCCUGAGCCUAAUGGUUGAAUUGUAGACGCACCAAAUGGGCACUCCACCAGAAUGUAUUCUCCGCAUUCUGACCAAUUUUGGAUCUCUGCAAUAGUCUCCACGUGCUACAAAAAGAAACUUCAUUAAUGAGGGACUUGGUGACACACAAGUAGUGUCAGAAUCAGAAGGCUUCUUUCUGUUCCAGACCCAGAAGGGGAGCUGACAUCUUUUAUCAAAAAGGCAGACAAUUCCAAUCCCUUGACGAUUCCAGAUUAUGGAUCCCAGGAGGCUUGCCUUACACCAGCGUCUUAUCACUGGAAUCAGAGUGGCUGCUGUUUAUUUUCUGAACCUCAGCAUAGUUUUCAAGGUGUUGCCUGCCAGCAGGGCCUCGACUGACAGUGACAUGUGUUAUUGUCACAUCGCUAGAUCUGAGAGAAAACGCGAGAUAAAUAAAUAUCAGUGUCUUCUUGGAUCCCUC